rnacentral:rRNA from 1 species
UACGGGGGGGGCGAGCGUUGUCCGAAGUUACUGGGCGUAAAGCGCGUGUAGGCGGGUUGCUAAGUCCGCUGUGAAAGCCCGGUGCUUAACGCCGGAGGGUCGGUGGAUACUGGCAGUCUUGAAGUGGCUAGGGGGAAAUGGAAUUACCGGUGUAGCGGUGAAAUGCGUAGAUAUCGGUAGGAACACCAGUGGCGAAGGCGGUUUCCUGGAGCCCACUUGACGCUGAGACGCGAAAGCUGGGGGAGCAAACGGG